rnacentral:rRNA from 1 species
UACGGGGGGAGCAAGCGUUGUUCGGAAUUACUGGGCGUAAAGCGUGCGUAGGCGGUUUGUUAAGUCUGUUGUGAAAUCCCCGGGCUCAACCUGGGAAUGGCAAUGGAUACUGGCAGGCUAGAGUGUGUCAGAGGAUGGUGGAAUUCCAGGUGUAGCGGUGAAAAUGCGUAGAUAUCUGGAGGAACACCGGUGGCGAAGGCGGCAUCCUGGACCAAUAUUGACGCUGAGGAGCGAAAGCCAGGGGAGCAAACGGG